GACGAACGCUGGCGGCGUGCUUAACACAUGCAAGUCGAACGAGAGCGUAGAGAAAGCUUGCUUUUUCUACAAUCUAGUGGCAAACGGGUGAGUAACGCGUAAACAACCUGCCCUACGGAUGGGGACAACAGCUGGAAACGGCUGCUAAUACCGAAUACGUUCCGAAAGUCGCAUGACUAUCGGAAGAAAGGCUGGCCUCUAUUUAUAAGCUAUCGCCGGAGGAGGGGUUUGCGUCUGAUUAGCUAGUUGGAGGGGUAACGGCCCACCAAGGCGACGAUCAGUAGCCGGUCUGAGGGGAUGAACGGCCACAAUGGAACGGAGACACGGUCCAGACUCCUACGGGGGGCAGCAGUGGGGAAUCUUCCGCAAUGGGGGAAAGCCUGACGGAGCAACGCCGCGGGAGGGAAGACGGCCUUCGGGUUGGAAAGCUCUGUUAUACGGGACGAAUAAUCUUGUGGUUAAUACCCAUGAGAAGUGACGGUACCGUAAGAGAAAGCCACGGCUAACUACGUG
rnacentral:rRNA from 1 species